GAUCCUGGCUCAGGAUGAAUGCUGGCGGCGUGCCUAACACAUGCAAGUCGAGCGGCAGCGCGAAUAGUUUACUAUUUGGCGGCGAGCGGCGGACGGCUGAGUAACGCGUGGGAAUCUACCCCAAAGUGAGGGAUAACUGCCCGAAAGGGUGGCUAAUACCGCAUAUGGUCUUCGGAUUAAAGGAUUUAUCUGCUUUGGGAGGAGCCCGCGUCGGAUUAGGUAGUUGGUAGGGUAAUGGCCUACCAAGCCAACG
rnacentral:rRNA from 1 species